AAUCAUGUGGUAAAUGUAAGUUAUGAUAAGGCUUGGAGAGGAUGUGAGAUUGCACUAAAUUCCAUUAGGGGUACCCCGGAGGACUCUUAUGCAAUGUUGGCAGCAUUCACGGGUGCAUCGAUUAGAAACAACCCAGAUAUAAUAUAUAUAUCAAAUACUAUGUAUUCUCUAUUAAGUAUUUUACUCAUUAUGGAAAUGCACAUUCUAAUAUCUUGUUUACAUAAUUACUAGGAACGUAUACAACUGAAGAAUCAAACAAUGAAGGUCGAUUCAAGUUCCAUUUCAUGGCCCUUGCAGCUUCAAUUGAUGCAUGGAAUUAUUGUGUGCCAAUUAUUUUAGUUGAUGGUGCAACGUUGAAGAACAAAUAUUUUGGUAAAUGUAAGGUCAAAUAUUUUGGUACGUUGAAGAAAAUUCUCAAAUUGUGCCUCUAGCUUUUGUUGUGGUUGAUUCAGAGAAUUAAUAACGGUGUUAAUAAGAGUGGCCUAUUAAAUGUAGUCUUAACUAGUAACGGUGUUAAUAAGAGAGACUAUUCAUUUCGUGGUCCGAUCUUAUACAAACUCUUUGUAUAAAAUACCCCUGCUGUAAUGUCUCGACAUGAAUGAUUAUGAUCAAAUCAUUUGUAGCACUUUACAACAAUUGUAACAACUACAAAGCAGACCGUAUUCGUAGUGUCACCAGAAUAAGGUAUUCAGCCUUAUCCAUCUACUACAGACCAUUUAGGUUAUCAUUUAAACAUGAUCCACUUGUAUGUCUCCACACACUUUAUUUUAUUAGAUAAAUAAAAUGCUUGUAUAAUAUAUACAAUUACAAACUAUAAAAUCAGAAGAUUUAGAGCAUCAAUCCCAACAUUUUACACGUCAAGUAAUCCAGUGUCAAGAAUAAGAGGAUUUUUGUUUGACAGUUUUUACGCGUCAAGUAAAAUUAUGCUUGACAGUUUAUAAACGUCAAGAAUAUGUUUAUUCUUGACACAUUUUGCAUGUUAAGUUUUUUUUUUCUUUCAAAUGAAAAAUUGUACAAUUUAAAAUAUUCAUAUAAUUAUAUUAAACAUGUUUUGAAGUUCAUUCACACACAUAUAAGUAGUGCCUUUGAGAUUACACAAAGUUGCUAAACUACGCAUAUUAAAUUAAACAAUUAAAUCAGUCAAAACUUUCCAUCAAAGAACUAAUAACUUUAACAAAUUGCAUAUAUCAUUGAACCAUACAUAUAAUACUUAGUCAUUACAUAAUUAAUUACAAUACCCUAAACUUCUACCAUAUGAACAUAUUGUUCUACAUAACUCUAUGUCUAAUAUGAAAAUUUUUAAAGUUUGUAAAAUGUAAAUAUAAGAAAAAGCUAACAUUUCGUCAAUGCUCUAGAUUCUUUUACCUAUAAUUGUACAAAUAUUACAAAGUGUAUGAUAAUGUAUAUACAUUAAAACGUUGGUUGUUUGUUUUCAUAUGCGUGUGUUGCAUAGUACUUUGUGAUUGAACUAGUCUGUGUAAUGGUAGAGCAACAAGAAAAAUAUGACAAGAAAAAAAAAUGUAGAAUAGAGGACAUUUGCUUUUUUUAAAACAAAAAAUUGUCAAGAUAAAGGCAUUCUUGACAGUUAAUUAUAAUCAUGCUAGGUGUUUUAUUGACAUUUAAUAAUUGUCAUGAUUGACAUAUUCUUGACAGAAAAAAUGUCAAAAUAUAUGAAUUCAUAACAGAUAUAUCAAUAUGCAAUAAUGACAGAUAAUUACUGUAAUUUGUGUUAAUUGAUGACAAUUAUUUAUUGUCAUAAAAAAUAUAUAAUAACAACAUUUACUAUUUGUAAUAAUAGUGGAUAUGUGACAUUUAUUUUCUGUCAUGAAAACACUUAUUGUGACAGUUUUUCAAACGGUCAUAGAUAGUCUUUCUUUGACAGACUAUACAAUGACAUUGAAAAAAACUGUCAAAAAUCUUAACUAUGACAAACUUUAACUAUCGUUGUAGGCCAUUUUUCUUGUGGGUGAAAAGUUCUCACUUAUCUUUAUAAUACUGAUUUUGUGUUAAAAUAGAAUUAGUUGACGAUGGAAAUCACGUAUGAAAUGACAUAAUUAUAAAACAUGGGUAAUGUGUCCUGAUACAAGAAAAUUUUGUUAACAUAUUGUUAUUGUUCAAAUGUUUUCUUUAACAAUAAAAGUGUCAUGGCUUAGAUAUUCUUCACAAAUAAAAGAUGUCAUUAUAUAUAUACCUUUUGAUAUUUUAUUGUUGCCAUCAAUGACCAUACUGCUACAACAGAUAGCCAAUUUUCUGAUUAUCACAAUGAUUUCACAUGUCAAAGGAUACGUGACAGGAACAAUUUCUAAACAUCAGGUUAAUUUCAUUGUCUAUGGUAGAUUAUUGUCAUCUAAGAAGAUAUUAUAACAAUUUUUUCCAAUGUCAGUUGAUGAUCAUAUAUCUUUCCAAGGGAUACCAAAAAUGCAAAAUAAUUUUCAUGAAUACUUCUUGUGAUAGUUUUUAGAUGCAGGAACAUCCCAAUUUUGUUGGAGGGUUUGUGGUUUCUUUCAAUUAUCAUCUUCUUCCUAAAUGAAUAAUGUUUCAACUAAAAUAAUUGAGAAAAACUGAAAUGAAAAAUAGAAAAAGUAGACGACGUUAAUAAACUUUUAAUAGUAGGGAGAUGAUAUUGAGGUGUGAAAUUACACAUGUAACCAAGACCAUAGGUUAACUAAAUUUAACAUCCUUUCAUCUACCAUGUAGCUAAUAAAAAAAUUUCCAAAUUUCCAAAUUUCCCUUCAAAUUUCACCAAGUUUCAAGAUUUAUCCAAAUUUUAUGUAAAAAAAUAAAAGAAAUGUCCAAAAUUCAUUGAAAUUGAAAUUUUCAUUUUAUCGUAGUUAUAACUACAUGUUCAAAAAGAAAAUUGCAUCAAAUGACAAAAACAUCUAGAAAAAACAGCCCAUUACACCUUUUGUUUUUCUUUUUUGCAUAUUGUGAAUUUGACAAGUAAUUAGUGAUAUUAGACGACUAUUCGAACGUUAUCAAAGGGUUAUCAAAAAGCUAUCGGACUGUUAUUAAAGGACUAUCAGUUUUAAAUUUGCUACUUUUACAAUUUGGAAAAUGUAGUGACACGAGUCUUAUUAUCAUAAUUUCUUUUGCUAUUUUUAUAAGUGCCCUUACAAAGUGAAGUACAUGUAUAUAUGCGGGACAAGAUUAGAGAACAUGAAAGGGAAAGAGACCUAAUUGAGAGAGACAAGAAACAAAGGUAAGUAUCAUAAUUCUAUUUUAUUUAUAUAUAUAUAUAUAUGUAGGUAUAUAUAUAUAGGUAUAUAUAUAUAGGUAUAUAUAUAUGUGGUUGUAUAUUGUUAAGUAGCAGCUAGUUUAGUGUUGUAAAUGCUCAGGAAGAACAGGUCCAAAUUCCAUGAGUUGUAACGCUGCCCGUUGAUUGUAAAAUACUAUAGCUGUAUAAGUCCAAAGAAAUCCACCAGAGUUUAUAGCUUCCAACACAAGCGUGAAACAUAUUUGACCGAACCUUCGUCCCUGUUCCAACCCAUUUAUUGCCCUCUGGAACUGCAGUUUGUCACCUGUAAUUUCAUUAUGCCUUUCUGUUGCAAACCUUGCAUAUCCUUGAAUUUCUGCAGAAUCAAUAUCCUUAAUUGGCACUGGAGGAACAUCAAAAUUCCUAGAACACAUUGCUAACACCUUUCCACGACAGAUAUGUAUACUUUGGAACAGACUAUGUUUAAUUGCUUUUGAAUAUAAUAUGCAUGGGAACGGGUUCCAUAUUUAUAGUGUUGGCGUUCAAUGUUCUACCAAUUGAUGUCAUCGAAUCUAAUUUUUAUGAAGUAAAUGAAGGAAUAGUAGCUAGCGAGAAGGUGUUUAGAGAAGAUAGCUUCGAAUCAAUUCCUUUUGAUAAUUAUAUUGAGCUUCCUAUUCAUUCCUUAAACUAACUCUCAAAUUUUGGCUUUUCCUUUGCAUUCUCAUCACUUU
rnacentral:lncRNA from 1 species